GACGAACGCUGGCGGCGUGCCUAAUACAUGCAAGUCGACCUUAGUGGCGAACGGGUGCGUAACACGUGGGUAACCUGCCCAUCAGAAGGGGAUAAAACUUGGAAAAAGGUGCUACUACCGUAUACUGAUGGAUGGACCCGCGGUGCAUUGGCUAGUUGGUGAGGUAACGGCUCACCAAGGCCACGAUGCAUAGCCGACCUGAGAGGGGGAUCGGACACAUUGGGAAUGAGACACGGCCCAAACGCCGACGGGAGGCAGCAGUAGUGAAUCUUCGGCAAUGGACGAAAGUCUGACCGAGCAACGCCGCGUGAGUGAAGAAGGUUUUCGGAUCUUAAAACUCUGUUGUUAGAGAAGCGGUAUCUAACCAGAAAGCCACGGCUAACUACGUGCCAGCAGCCGCGGUAAUAC
rnacentral:rRNA from 1 species